rnacentral:rRNA from 1 species
CGAAAGCCUGACGGAGCAAUACCGCGUGAGGGAUGACUGCCUAUGGGUUGUAAACCUCUUUUUUCAGGGAGGAACACAAUGACGUGUACCUGAAGAAUAAGCAUCGGCUAACUCCGUGCCAGCAGCCGCGGUAAGACGGAGGAUGCAAGUGUUAUCCGGAAUCACUGGGCGUAAAGCGUCUGUAGGUGGUUUAAUAAGUCAACUGUUAAAUCUUGAGGCUUAACCUCAAAAUCGCAGUCGAAACUAUUAGACUAGAGUAUAGUAGGGGUAAAGGGAAUUUCCAGUGGAGCGGUGAAAUGCGUAGAUAUUGGAAAGAACACCGAUGGCGAAGGCACUUUACUGGGCUAUUACUGACACUCAGAGACGAAAGCUAGGGUAGCAAAUG